CAACUACACCUCAAGCCAAAGGUUCCAGACUUUUUUUCCUUAGGGAAAGGACUGAUGUUCCCUUUUUUCACCCCUAUGCUGCAAUAACCAGUCCCACCUCCUGAAAAAUUUACUCCAAAUGAAGAUUCCUGCCAGACAAAAGGUGCCAGCACAGAAAGCUCUUUGCUGCCCAAGAAGUGCCCAGGCUGUCCAAACAACUGCACCUCAAAGCCAAAGGUUCCAGACUUUUUUUCCUGGUGGAAAGAGUUGCUGUUCCUUUUUUCAGCCCUUCUCUGCAAUGGCCGGUCCUACCUCCUGAAAAAUUGAAUCCAAAUGAAGAUUCCUGCCAGACAAAAUGUGCCACCACAGAAAGGUCUUCCUGCCCAAGAAGUGCCCAGGCUGCCCCAACAACUGCACAUCCAAGCCAAAGGAUCCAGACAUUUUUUCCUGGUGGAAAGAGCUGCUGUUCCCUUUUUUCUGCUCUGCGCUGUAAUGGUCGGUGCCACCUUUUAAAAAAUUUACUCCAAAUGAAGAUUCCUU